UGCAACUCUUACAACUGCAGCUUAGCGAGGACAGAGCUCUCAGUUUCAUCAAAUCUUGCAUCUUCUACCUCUCCUUUGGCAAAGAUGACUUCAUAGAACUCCUCCUACAAAAUGCCUCGGGUACUGCAAAACAGAACAGUACUGAUCAAGAAUUUGCACACAUUUUAGCAGAUCAAAUGAUACAUGUUAUACGGAACCUUUAUGCCAUGAAUGUGGGGAGGAUCAUAUGCAUGGGAAUAUUACCCUUGGGAUGCACUCCGAGGGUGUUAUUGAACCAAUACAAUUCCACAGCCAAACCACAUGAUGACGAUGAUGAUGUUGCAAAGGGAUGUGUAGAGGAGAUCAAUGCGCAUGUCUUGGAGUACAA
rnacentral:lncRNA from 1 species